rnacentral:rRNA from 1 species
AGCUCCAAUAGCGUAUGUUAAAGUUGUUGCGGCUAAAAAGCUCGUAGUUGGAUUUCUACUGAGAACGUCCGGUCCGCUCUAUGAGCGUGCAUCUGGUUCGGUCUCGGUAUCCGCUCUGCAGGGGUAUCUGCGCUUGAUUGCGUGGUGCCAAGGUAGGGCCUUUUACUUUGAGGAAAUUAGAGUGUUCACGGCAGGCAUUCGCCUUGAAUAUAUUAGCAUGGAAUAAUAACAUAGGAUCUUGGUUCUAUUUUGUUGGUUUCUAGGGCUAAGAUAAUGAUUAAUAGGGACAAUUGGGGGCAUUCGUAUUGCGGUGUCAGAGGUGGAAUUCUUGGAUUACUGCACGACGAACUACUGCGAAAGCAUUUGCCAAGGAUGUUUUCAUUGA